CGGAACAGAGGUUAGAGAAUAAGAAGAAGAAGGAAGAGAACCACGAGGAAGCAAGGAAGAAGAAGGACAACGGUGAAGGAUCCUAGGGAAAAGAUUUCCUGAGGGGGGAAAACGGAGACAGUUACCUGAGGCAAGGGACCGCUCAACCAGAGUCUCGACAGUAAGUUUGAAAAGUGAAAAUCCGGAUGCAGGCGACGCUGUAUAUAUAGUACCCCCUGAUGGCCGAGAUGAAAGCACGACCAGCGAGGAUCUCCCAGAUCGUGACGCAUGGCGACAUCUGGGCCCUCCUUUGGUCCGACGGUUCGACGUACCUGC
rnacentral:lncRNA from 1 species